rnacentral:rRNA from 1 species
ACGGCCAUGCAAUGCUGAAUAUACCGGUUCUCGUUAGAUCACCGAAGUUAAGCAUCAUUGGGCGCGGUCAGUACUUGGGUGGGUGACCACCUGGGAACACCGCGUGCCGUU